AGGCGACGGCGACUGCCCCGACGCGCAGAAAUGCUGCAACAGCAGCUGUGGCCACCAGUGCCUGCCGGAAGUGCCGGCCGAGGACACCAGCCCUGCCCCGGCCACUCAACGGCCACUGCUGCACCAGUGGGGAUGUCUCCAGGACCAGGACUGUCCCCCAUCCCACGUCUGCUGUCACCAGCUGUGCAGCCGGCACUGUGUGGCAAACAGUCAAGGUGAGGGGGCCGGGAGCCACCCCAAAGAUUCGACAGCCCCAUGUGCCCUGGUCUCCACGGCUGCAUCUCCAAGCAGUGGCACUGCAGCCACUCCACACCAUGCCUGCAGGGAAGGACGGAUUCUGCCCAGUCCGUGCCGGGCUGUUCCCCAGUUAUGACUGCAGAGCCCAGUGCUGGCACGACGGCGAGUGUCCCCGCGAGGAGAAGUGCUGCCUGAGUGGCUGCGACUAUGUCUGCCUGCCCCCAUCCCGAGGUGCCAGAUACGGGCAGGGGUGUCCCCCAGCUCCAGGGACUGUGAGACUGGGUGGGGAAGACCCGCUAUUGCUGCUUGCACCCCCAGCCCCACUGCCUCCUGCCUCCAGAAAAACCAGGCAUUUGCCCGCUGGCUGAGGAGGCUCCGCUGGCCGUGACCCCGUGUGGCACCACCUGCACCAAGGACUGGCAGUGCCCGGGGGCUGAGAAGUGCUGCAGCAGCAGCAGAUGUGGCCACGUGUGCUCAGCCCCCGAACCAGACAAACCCAGUGAGUGCCCAAAGGUGAGGCCACAACGCACAUCGGAGCCGUGCACGGAGAUGGACUCCUGCACCCACGACAGGGACUGUUCCCGGCAGGAGAAGUGCUGCUUCUCUGGCUGCGCCA